UACAGAGGGUGCAAGCGUUAAUCGGAAUCACUGGGCGUAAAGCGCACGUAGGCGGAUUGUUAAGUCGGGGGUGAAAUCCUGGAGCUCAACUCCAGAACUGCCUUCGAUACUGGCGAUCUUGAGCCCGGGAGAGGUGAGUGGAACUCCGAGUGUAGAGGUGAAAUUCGUAGAUAUUCGCAAGAACACCAGUGGCGAAGGCGGCUCACUGGCCCGAUACUGACGCUGAGGCACGAAAGCGUGGGGAGCAAACAGG
rnacentral:rRNA from 1 species